rnacentral:misc_RNA from 1 species
GGUGGACGCUCACUCAAAAUGGGUAGAGGCUGAACUGUGUCACAGUAUUGGCUCGAGGACCACCAUUGUUCAAUUGAGAAAAAUGUUUUCACGCUGGGGCCUUCCUGAUGUACUCGUGUCAGACAAUGCGACAGCAUUUACUUCUGAGGAGUUCCAAGAGUUUUUGCGUGGGAACGGCGUAGAGCACAAAACGAUAGAACCAGGACACAGUCAGGGGAACGGUUUGGCAGAGAGGAUGGUGAGAGAAGUGAAGCUAGCGCUGCAGCGCUCUGGCGGGGGACAAUGGGAUCUGUGUCUCGCAAAUUGGCUCCUUCAUCAACACAUUGUCCCUCAGUCAACAACUGGUGUUCCGCCCGCAGAGCUGAUGCUUGGCAGGAGGCUGCGGAGUAAGCUGGACCUUCUACGGCCGAGCAUCCGGGCGACGGUGGUCAAAGGUCAAGUGAGCCAAAAACAAAACCAUGACGGAUAUCGUCAGCUACCUGACCUGAGCCGGAGCGGAGAGGUGACAUCUGGCGGCGGCGCUGAGGGAGCUCACUCUGGCUGGCUACCGGCUGCCGCCGACGCUGUUCAACGGCCGCCCGCCGCGGCGCUCGUUCGGCCGCCGGCACCUGGUGCUGCCGUUGGGUCGUCUGCCGAGCCGUCUGCUGGGUCGUCUGGCGAGCUGGCUGGUGUUGCUGCUGGGUCGUCUGCUGAGCCGACUCAGCGCGAGGUCUCGGGCGCUGCCGUUCCGUCAUCGCCGCUAUCUGGCCGAGUGCCGCUGUCGCAAUCUCAGCGGACGGCGCCGGUGCCAUUGUCGCGGCCCGAUGACGCGUCUGUUUCUACGGGCAACCGCAGUGAGCUCGCGCGUCGCUAUCCGGUUCGUGUGCGGAACAAACCAAACUUUUACGUGGGAAAGUAAUGUACGGUAAUUGGGCGUGGUCCAUGCGACGACUGCGCGUGCGCGGGGCCGCGCGGCGGCUGCGCGUGCGCAGGGCGCGGUGUGCGUGCGCCUGUCUGUUAGACUGUACCGCUGUGUCAUCGUCUGCGCGGGUCAGCCGGCCCGCGCGGCAUUCUGAAAUAGAGUGGCAAACUGAACAGCUGUGUU